AACCAGCAAGCAUGGUGAUCCGUGCCCCUGCCCACCUCUCCUCUAAGACCUGGCACUGCCCAUCCACCUGGACGACUUCCUGCUUUUCAGAUAUCAGAAUGCAGGUGUGCCUGGCAACCUCCGAAAAUCCCUCACGCCAAUGUUACAGCUGCAUCUACAAGACUCCUUCUCAGAAGGCUCUUCUGUGCCAAGGGGAGCCUGCCAUGUCGCAAAGGGCGUCAGCUCCAUUCCUCCUUGGCUGGAACCACUGCCGGAUGGGGUAGAAGAACCUGCGGUCCCUUCCCAGACACACCCCACCUACUCAGCCUUCUCUGGGUCAAGGCCAGAGCAGACAUCAGUCUCCGAGAGCAGCAGGCUGUGGGAAUGCAGAGGCGGGUCCUUCAACUUACAGAGCAGAGCUUCUUUCUUUCCCCCCAAUUCUUUCUACCCAUUAAAUGUGUUGCAGUAUCGGGAUUUGCCUGUGUGAGUGGCUUUAAAAGGAGGAAACCAGAGGACAAGAGCAGUUGCAUAUUGACGGUGUCAUGGAUGCCCUCUAACUUUAUCCAGUAGAGCUGUGGCAAGGAUGAAGAGAGUGAGCAUGUGUAAAGGGCUGCUGGUUGUGCACUCCGUGAACCUCUGCGCUUAUGGAAAGAAGAGACAUUUUGCUGGAAGGUUUGGGCUUCCAACUUUCCUGCUGACCGAGCUUGAACUGCUAGAAGGGGAAAACAAACAGAGAUUCCACCUGCACCACGAGCGGCCCCAGAGUAAACAUUCCACACACAUCGCUGGGUUAUCUCCAGAAUGAUCCUGCAUGGCUGUGCUGUUAUUAUCUCCAUGUUACAGGACUCAAAGAACUGGUCAGGGAGAAAGCCUGGAGGAUACAGAGAGGCGAUUUUCCCAUGAUGGACACACAGCUUCCUAAACCAGAGGCCGUCUUUCUUGAAAGACUGAGUGGGAGAUCUCAAAAUCUGCCAAGUCCUAGAGGAAUUCUGUGAAGGAGGAAUUACAAGGGGACAUCGAGAAUACAGGCGGAAUGAGUUCUCUGGGUUUAAUGAAGCCAUUGUCACCUCCUUUCCUCGUUGGCCCCUGGACCUCUGGGUCCCAGGGACCCAGAGAAGUUGCCAUCUCAGCUGCUUGCUUGUGUUCUGAACGUCAGGCUCCAUGAAUUUGGCUCCUGGCAACACCUCUGUUCCCACCUUCACAGACCACUCUCUGCCGCCCAAGCACCAACUAGCCAGGGAGCGCCCUGCGGAUCCCGGGUGCUCUGCAGCUCCCUUAACUUACUUUCAUUAAUUACAUGCUUCAUGCCCAGAUACCUGCUUUCCCAGCAGGAAUGCCAGGAGUGUGUCCUGCUCCUCACUGUAACCCUGCAUGAGGCCACACUUAGAAGACAUACAUUUUUAAAAUGGAGCUAGCCAAAAGCCAGGUUAAUUUUUUUUUUUUUUUUAAUGACAAUAUCCAUUUCUUACCCCAACUCUUUUUGCUGUUAAAAUGCAUGGCAACACUCACUGGGGGAGAUGCUGGCCAUUUCCUUUAUGAUUCACUUUGCCAUAACAGAAGCAUCCUUUCCAUGCUGGCUUCUUGGCAUGGUUCCAUGGAGAAACACCUGGCAGCCGUCAGUCCUGAGCUGCCUUGCUCCCUCCGGCUGAGGGCUGAGAGCCGCCCACGGGUGAACAGCAGGGUGUUUGGUACCUUAGCGAGAUCGUUAGCUGAUCAUUUGGAAGAACAACAGCAGUGAUGAUACUGAGUAUUUGUAUUAUAAUUUUUCAUUUUCCAAAAUAGCUAUUAGACUAGGGGGCUCCAAGGGCCCCAGAGACCGAGCCAAUUCUCUCAUUUACAGACGAGGAAAAUCAUAAAGGUCAGAGCACCUCAAAUCCUGGGUGACCCUCACCACACGCUUCCAUUGGGCCAGUGCCCAUUUUGCAGAGAAGGAAACUAAGACCCCGACAGUGACGUGUCCCCAGUGACUCAGCCAACUCAAGGCAGAGCUGAGCCCAGGCAUCCAGUUUCCUGGUCCCUGCUCUGAGCAUUUGUCUCUGCGCCCACCCGGGUCCCCUUCCUUCUCUGUCGCCUGGAGUCAUGAAGUGUGAAAGCCUGAAAACCCUAAUCACCUGUUAGGGACAGUUCUGAGCCGCGGGCUGAGGAGCUUCCAUCACUUUAAUUAAUGACAAGGACGGAUGCUCUCGAUGGCAGCAGUUCCCAAAUAUCAGAAGACAUUUUAGUUCUGAAUGAGGAGACUCGCUGCACAGCUGUGCAUGUUUGGUGAGAAUCAGGGACUCAUCAGGAUGUGGCCUCCAGCGACAGCCGCCCCACCAGCAGGACGUUGAGAGUGUCCCUGUGGAAAGGUGCGAGGAGCUUGCUGUCCCUGGGGUGAAAAGAGAGAGGCAGUGAGGGACAGAGGAGGUGGGACCUGGAGGCCAGUUCCCCAGCCUCUUCUCAGGCAAGUUCGUGUUGACGGUGGCUUCCCAGGGGAUCCCACACUGCAGCUGAAGAGCUGGGGACUGUGCGGCAGGGGUCGGUGGUGGGCCCUACUUGUGCCCUAUGGCUCAGGCUUUCAGCUCAAGGGACUCACCUCUGCUCCUGGUUUUGCCUGCCUGGCUUGCAGGCCCCUGUUUUCUAUACCAGCACCUCAAUGUCCCUCAAGAGCCCCCUCACUCAGUCCAUGCCAUUCCCCUCCCAUGGGGGUGGGGGCGGGGAGAGCCCUCCAACCUAAACCACCUGAGAAGCACCUGAGUCCUUAAAUCCAGAGAAAUGAUCUCCUUCCUCUUUUAGAAAGACUUUAUUUAUUUAUUUUUUGCUUUUUUUAUUUUUAUUUUUGCUUUUAGGGCUGCACUCGCGGCAUAUGGAGGGUCCCAGGCUAGGGGUUGAAUCGGAGCUGCAUCUGUGACCUACACCACAGCUCACGGCAACACUGGAUCCUUAACCCACUGAGCGAGGCUGGGGAUCAAACCCGAAACUUCAUGGUUCCUAGUUGGAUUCAUUUCCACUGCGCCACAGUGGGAACUCCUAGAAAGCCUUUCUUGACCCCCGAAAGCGGUUGUCCACUUUCUCCUGUGACAUCCUCACCUCCAUCUCCAAAUCUUCAUGCCACAAUUGUGUCUUCCCCUCUGGGCUUUGGGCUUUUAAGAUCUGAAGGUAUCUUUAUUAAUAGAUCAGCAACUUCUAUCACAGUGCCUGCCACGUGGUAGGUGUUCAAGUUAUGUUGGAUGAGGGGUGAGGGACAAGACUCCCACCCGAACUUUAAAUAAUUGUAUCGGCCGAUCAGAUCCUACAGGCUUGUGUACAUCUUAUCAACCCCAAGGGCUACAAGCCGUGACACACAGAGGUAUUAUUGCCUUUAUUGGUGAGGCAAGAUACACCCCAUCUGACAGGUCCUCCUCCUCGUAUUCCAGCCAGAUGGUACACAAUUAAACAAUCAGCCCUGGCACCCAUCCCAGCAAGCCCAAGGCCAUGGUGCAUCUGGUAGGAAGAGGCUGGGUGAGAGAGCUUUCACCCCUGGAUCAGGGCAGGGCUAGGAGGUAGGGAGAAUGCAGAGGAAGAGGGUUACACAUCUCCCCUAAAUUUUCUUGGUUUCUGACUUAGAAAAAUAAAAUAUUUGCAUGAGGUAAUUGAGGACCACCAGGCUAUGUGGAGUUGAUGCUUAAAACAAAAAUACUUAGCUAUAAGAAACACAGGAGUUCCUAUUGUGGUGCAGCAGAAACAAAUCCAACCAGUAUCCAUGAGGACACGGGUUCAAUCCAUGGCCUCGCUCAGUGGGUCAGGGAUCUGGCAUUGCUGUGAGCUGUGGUGUAAGUUGCAGACCCAGCUCAGAUCCUGCAUUGCUGUGGCUGUGAUGUAGCCUGGCAGCUACAGCUCCAAUUCAACCCCUAGCCUGAGAACCUCCAUAUGCCGUGAGUGCGGCCCUAAAAAGCAGAAAGAAGGAAGGAAGGAAGAAAGGAAGGAAGGAAGAAAGAAGGAAGGAUAGAAAGAAGGAAGGAAAGAGAGAGAGAGAGAAAGGGAGAGAGAAAGAAAGAAAGAAAGAAAGAAAGAAAGAAAGAAAGAAAGAAAGAAAGAAAGAAAGAAAGGAAAGGAAGGAAGGAAGGAAGGAAGGAAAGAGAGAAAGGGAGAGAGAGAGAAAGAAAGAAAGAGAAAGAAGGAAAGAAAGAAAGAAAGAAAGAAAGAAAGAAAGAAAGAAGGAAAAGAAAGAAAGGAAAGAAAG
rnacentral:lncRNA from 1 species